rnacentral:sRNA from 1 species
AAGAUUUAAAUCUUUUAAAUCCUUGCUUUUAGAGUUAUUAUAUCAUUAUCUAAAAGGCUCAAAAUAUAAAAAAUUUAAAU